GGGAUAACCGGGAGAAAUCCCGACUAAUACCGCGUAACGCCGCGGGGCUGCAUGGCCCGGCGGCCAAAGGAAGCGAUUCCGGCGGGGGAUGGGCAUGCGGCGCAUUAGCUAGUCGGCGGGGUAACGGCCCACCGAGGCGACGAUGCGUAGGGGUUCUGAGAGAAAGGUCCCCCACACUGGUACUGAGACACGGACCAGACUCCUACGGGAGGCAGCAGUGAGGAAUAUUGGUCAAUGGGCGGGAGCCUGAACCAGCCAAGUCGCGUGAGGGAAGACGGUCCUAUGGAUUGUAAACCUCUUUUGCCGGGGAGCAACGGGGUCCUUGCGAGGGCCCAAUGAGAGUACCCGGAGAAAAAGCAUCGGCUAACUCCGUGCCAGCAGCCGCGGUAAUACGGAGGAUGCGAGCGUUAUCCGGAUUUAUUGGGUUUAAAGGGUGCGUAGGCGGGCUGUUAAGUCAGCGGUCAAAUGUCGGGGCUCAACCCCGGCCUGCCGUUGAAACUGGCGGCCUCGAGUGGGCGAGAAGUAUGCGGAAUGCGUGGUGUAGCGGUGAAAUGCAUAGAUAUCACGCAGAACUCCGAUUGCGAAGGCAGCAUACCGGCGCCCUACUGACGCUGAGGCACGAAAGCGUGGGUAUCGAACAGGAUUAGAUACCCUGGUAGUCCACGCAGUAAACGAUGAAUGCUAGCUGUCCGGUUCUACGGGACUGGGUGGCACAG
rnacentral:rRNA from 1 species